CCAGACUCCUACGGGAGGCAGCAGUGGGGAAUAUUGGGCAAUGGGCGCAAGCCUGACCCAGCAACGCCGCGUGAAGGAAGAAGGCCCUCGGGUUGUAAACUUCUUUUAUCAGGGACGAAACAAAUGACGGUACCUGAUGAAUAAGCCACGGCUAACUACGUGCCAGCAGCCGCGGUAAUACGUAGGUGGCAAGCGUUAUCCGGAUUUACUGGGUGUAAAGGGCAUGUAGGCGGGUCUGCAAGUCAGAUGUGAAAUCUCAUGGCUCAACCAUGGAACUGCAUUUGAAACUGUAGAUCUUGAGUGAUGGAGAGGCAGGCGGAAUUCCGUGUGUAGCGGUGAAAUGCGUAGAUAUAAGGAAGAACACCAGUGGCGAAGGCGGAUGACUGGACGGCAACUGACGGUGAGGCGCGAAAGCGUGGGGAGCAAACAGGAUUAGAUACCCUCGUA
rnacentral:rRNA from 1 species